rnacentral:rRNA from 1 species
GACGAACGCUGGCGGCGUGCCUAACACAUGCAAGUCGAACGGAAAGGCCCUGCUUUUGCGGGGUGCUCGAGAGGCGAACGGGGGAGUAUCACGUGAGUAACCUGCCCUUGACAUUGGGAUAACUUCAGGAAAAAGGGGCGAAUACCGGAUAGGAGCUCCUGCUGCGUGGGGGGGGUUGGUAAGAUUCGGCGUUUGGGGAUGGACGCGCGGAUUAUCAGCGUGUUGGUGGGGUAGUGGCUUACCCAGGCACUGAGGGGAAGCCGGCCUGAGAGGGUGACCGGCCCCAUUGGGCCUGGGGUAGCGGCCAGAGUCCAACUGGGGGCAGGGGUGGAGAUCUGUGCGCGCUGGGCCGCGGGCUUAUACAGCGUCUUCGCGUCCGGGAUGACGGCCUUCGGGUUGGAAACCGCUUUCGACUGUAACGAAGAGUGAGUGACGGUAAUUGGUAAGGAAGCACCGGCUAACUACGUG